GGGAGAUUGACUUGUUCUACCUGGGCUCACUCCUAACGUUCAUCGUCGAAAGCUUCCAUAGGCUACUGUUUAAUCUCCAGAUCAUACUGGAAAGCAUUUUUCUGUCCCUCCCAAAGGCCCUCAAGAACAACCCCCUUACCAGCACUACAAAUCAGAGGAGGCUGAACGGUCGUUAGGGAAAUGGUUUACUGGGGCAAGGGACAGGGGAGGGCUGAGGGCAGCCAGAGUG